rnacentral:rRNA from 1 species
GACGAACGCUGGCGGCGUGCUUAACACAUGCAAGUCGAACGAAGAGCGAUGGAAGCUUGCUUCUAUCAAUCUUAGUGGCGAACAGGUGAGUAACGCGUAAUCAACCUGCCCUUCAGAGGGGGACAACAGUUGGAAACGACUGCUAAUACCGCAUACGAUCUAAUCUCGGCAUCGAGGAUAGAUGAAAGGUGGCCUCUACAUGUAAGCUAUCACUGAAGGAGGGGAUUGCGUCUGAUUAGCUAGUUGGAGGGGUAACGGCCCACCAAGGCGAUGAUCAGUAGCCGGUCUGAGAGGAUGCACGGCCACAUUGGGACUGAGACACGGCCCAGACUCCUACGGGAGGCAGCAGUGGGGAAUCUUCCGCAAUGGACGAAAGUCUGACGGAGCAACGCCGCGUGAGUGAUGACGGCCUUCGGGUUGUAAAGCUCUGUUAAUCGGGACGAAAGGCCUUCUUGCGAACAGUUAGAAGGAUUGACGGUACCGGAAGAGAAAGCCACGGCUAACUACGUG